rnacentral:rRNA from 1 species
CAUAAUCAUAAUAUUGAAACCAAAAGAUGCAAAGUUAAUAAUGAUAGUGCAACUUAUUUGUGGCACUGCCGUUUAGGUCAUAUUGGUGCAAAGCGCAUGAAGAAACUCCAUGCUGAUGGGCUUUUGGAAUCACUUGAUUAUGAAUCAGUUGAUGCUUGCGAACCAUGCCUCAUGGGCAAGAUGACUAAGACUCUGUUCUUCGGAACAAUGGAGCGAGCAACAGAUUUGUUGGAAAUCAUACAUACUGAUGUAUGGGGUCCGAUGAAUAUUGAGGCUCGCGAUAGGUAUCAUUAUUUUCUGAUCUUCACAGAUGAUUUGAGC